rnacentral:lncRNA from 1 species
AUGGCUCACUGGACACUAGCAAUGAGAAUAAAAAGAAAGAGGAGGAAGUGUCAUUUAAGAAAACAUCUGUACUUCAAUUCAAAUAUCACCAUGGUACACGAAAAAAGACAUCUGUUAGCAUUCUGUGAAGAGAGAAGGAAGAGGAAGACAGGAACAAAAAAAACCAAGUAUGACUCUAAAUACAUGCAUAUAUGUAUGUCGUAUAAUAUAAUUUUAGACUCCAGGUGGCUUGCAAUAGUUAAAAUAAACAUACCAAAAACUAAAAGCAUACAAAACUUAAAAAGGGGAUAUUAUUUCCUAAAGGCUGUGAAUAUACAAUAUUUCUGA